rnacentral:rRNA from 1 species
GACGAACGCUGGCGGCGUGCUUAACACAUGCAAGUCGAACGGAAAGGCCCUGCUUUUGUGGGGUGCUCGAGUGGCGAACGGGUGAGUAACACGUGAGUAACCUGCCCUUGACUUUGGGAUAACUUCAGGAAACGGGGGCUAAUACCGGAUAGGAGCUCCUGCUGCAUGGUGGGGGGUGGAAAGUUUCGGCGGUUGGGGAUGGACUCGCGGCUUAUCAGCUUGUUGGUGGGGUAGUGGCUUACCAAGGCUUUGACGGGUAGCCGGCCUGAGAGGGUGACCGGCCACAUUGGGACUGAGAUACGGCCCAGACUCCUACGGGAGGCAGCAGUGGGGAAUAUUGCACAAUGGGCGGAAGCCUGAUGCAGCAACGCCGCGUGCGGGAUGACGGCCUUCGGGUUGUAAACCGCUUUCGCCUGUGACGAAGCGUGAGUGACGGUAAUGGGUAAAGAAGCACCGGCUAACUACGUG